rnacentral:rRNA from 1 species
GAUGAACGCUAGCGGCAGGCCUAAUACAUGCAAGUCGAGGGAGAAUGUUGGAUUCGUCUGACAUGAAACCGGCGCACGGGUGCGUAACACGUAUGCAACCUACCUUUAACUGGGGUAUAGCUCAGAGAAAUCUGAAUUAAUCCCCCAUAAGACUACGACAUGGCAUCAUGAUGUAGUUAAAGCUCCGGCGGUUAAGGAUGGGCAUGCGGUACAUUAGCUAGUUGGUGAGGUAAUGGCUCACCAAGGCUACGAUGUAUAGGGGGUCUGAGAGGAUGAUCCCCCACACUGGUACUGAGACACGGACCAGACUCCUACGGGAGGCAGCAGUAGGGAAUAUUGGUCAAUGGACGCAAGUCUGAACCAGCUAUGCCGCGUGAAGGAUGAAGGCCCUAUGGGCCGUAAACUUCUUUUAUUAGGGAAGAAAAAACGGGAUGCGUCCUGUACUGACGGUACUUAAUGAAUAAGGAUCGGCUAACUUCGUGCCAGCAGCCGCCGUAA